rnacentral:misc_RNA from 1 species
UCGUGUCCGAUUAAAAUCUUUUUGCACUUCUAGCUAUAAGCAUCGAAAUUUUGGGAUGAUUUCAGAGCAAAAACUUCUAUUUCGAACAGACAGCACGUCAAAUAGCAUGUAGAGCUAAGGAUUGUGGAGAACCGAGGACAACUUUGGGAAUCGUUAUGUCGAGUAUACUCAGUCGUAUUUACAACAGAAAAUCAGUAAUUGUCUUCGGCGUGGUAGUGACUACGUACUUGGUUUAUCGCUACUAUAAGAGUAGAAGGAGGAGAGAUACUUUCGCAGACGAAGACGCAUUCCACAGGGAAAUAAGGAGAAGAAGGGUCGAAAAACUCGUGGAAUUACGGGAUAAACUGGAGCAACUUCUUGGUUCAUUAGACAACUUUCAACCAGAACUUCCUGAUACUGAAGACGAUGAGUGCAUUGUGUGCAACAGUGCCAAGGCCAUCAUUCAAACUUAUCCUUGCAAACACAGAGUUCUUUGUCGCCGUUGUUUUGUCAGAACACUGCAGGUGGCUGUAAAUGACCUCAAUCUUCCCUUAAAGUGUGUGGUCUGUCGUACAAGGAUUCAAACAUUGGACAGAGAUCGUCAUGAAGGAACUACACCUUUGGAACUGUUAGCUUAAAAUAUUUUGUUCUAAAUUUGUGUGAGUCAGAAUUAUUUGUUCAUAAUUUUUGUAAAGGAAAAUUACUAGAUAUCCUUGUCCAACAAGCUGGUAGAUUUUUGUUUCUUCAAAAUGUUUAGGAGAAGGUUUCUAUAACUUCUAAUAAGUGUCUGCACAUUGUACAAAGUUGUAGGGUAGGUCACUUAUUCCCUAAAUAUCAUUGAAAAGUAGGCAAUUUGUUUAGUUACUUUUAGACUUUUGUGCAAUUUCAAUUAAAAAAGUAAUUAGUAGUUUUCAAUGGUUGUCAUUUUCACAGCUCUGGAUGAAAAAACAGAGUGGAACUGCGGAAACCUCUCACUGCUUUUGUCAAUCCUUUUCAUGGCAAUCCUACUCAGUGCCUCAAACUGCAUGCCAAAUUGCAAGCAACUUGGGCCAAUAUUUGUUGUGCAUCCCUUUCUUUUAAAUCUUAGGUCAGAGGCAUGGAUUAUGAAAAAUUUUCAGGUGGACCUUGAAUGAGGAAAGCAUUUAUGUAAUCUAACAAGAGAAGAAGUAAAAUGUGAAAGCCGAGGCUAGAAUAGAGUAUAACUCUACUGCCAUUUUUUGUAUGCAAUACUUAUGCAUGAUUGUUAUCAUGUACUUGAGUGUACUUUUUCUUGAAUUUAUAAUAAAUAUUGUUGUAAUUUCG